AUGGCCUCGAGCUCCCUCCCGCUCCUCACCCUCCUGGCCCUGCUGGCCCUGCCAGGGCUCCGGGCGGCCGUGACCCUGCUGGAGUGCGGGGGGGACCUCCAGCCCCCCGGGGGGUCCCUGACUCUGCUCUGCCACGGGUCUGGGUUCACGUUUGGGAGUUACGCCAUGCACUGGAUCCGCCAAAGACCCGGAAAGGGGUUGGAAUACGUUGCAGAGAUCGGCAACAAUGGGGGUUCCAUCCACUACGCGCCGUCAGUCAAGGGUCGGUUCACGAUCUCCAGGGACAACGGGCAGAGCUCGGUGACACUGACCAUGAACAACCUCAAGGACGAGGAUUCCGCCGUUUAUUUCUGCGCCAAAAGUGCUAGUGCUGGUUGUUCUGCUUCUUGUGCUGGUUGUAUUGAUGGUUGCAAUGCAUUACCCAUCAUUGUGUCCCACCUGUCCGCAAAUGUCCCCAGAUCCUCCACCCAAACCCCAACCCUUGAUCACAACCUUGAACUCUGA